GGAGCUCUCCCAUAUGGUCGACCUGCAGGCGGCCGCGAAUUCACUAGUGAUUGUUUGAUCCUGGCUCAGGAUGAACGCUAGCGACAGGCCUAACACAUGCAAGUCGAGGGGUAUAAGUAGCUUGCUACUUAGAGACCGGCGCACGGGUGAGUAACGCGUAUGCAACCUACCUUUUACUGGGGGAUAGCCCAAAGAAAUUUGGAUUAAUACCGCAUAACAUAUUUGAAUCGCAUGGUUUAAAUAUUAAAACUUCGGUGGUAAAAGAUGGGCAUGCGUAGCAUUAGUUAGUUGGUGAGGUAACGGCUCACCAAGACUAUGAUGCUUAGGGGGUCUGAGAGGAUAGUCCCCCACACUGGUACUGAGACACGGACCAGACUCCUACGGGAGGCAGCAGUGAGGAAUAUUGGUCAAUGGGCGCAAGCCUGAACCAGCCAUGUCGCGUGCAGGAUGACGGCCCUAUGGGUUGUAAACUGCUUUUUUACAGGAAUAAACUUUGUUACGUGUAGCAAACUGAAGGUACUGUAAGAAUAAGGAUCGGCUAACUCCGUGCCAGCAGCCGCGGUAAUACGGAGGAUCCAAGCGUUAUCCGGAUUUAUUGGGUUUAAAGGGUCCGUAGGCGGGCUUUUAAGUCAGUGGUGAAAUCCCAGAGCUCAACUCUGGAACUGCCAUUGAUACUGAAGGUCUUGAAUUUAGUUGAGGUGGGCGGAAUACGUUAUGUAGCGGUGAAAUGCAUAGAUAUAACGUAGAACACCGAUUGCGAAGGCAGCUCACUAAGCUAACAUUGACGCUGAUGGACGAAAGCGUGGGGAGCGAACAGGAUUAGAUACCCUGCUAGUCCACGCCGUAAACGAUGAUUACUCGUUGUGCACGAUACACUGUGCGUGACUGAGCGAAAGCAUUAAGUA
rnacentral:rRNA from 1 species